AACACAAAGGACAAAGGGAGACCAGCCCCGAACACUCUCUGAACGGACGGAACCAGCGCGGUCUGGCAAACGGAGCUCAGCUUGGCUUGUUUUGCCAGACGACCUCGACCCGCGUCGUUUCCUGCUUAUGCGUCUGAAAACCAUACGCAGAGCUUAAACUGUUUCCCCAGAUUGAUACGAGGUUGUGGCCGCCGCUUCCUAGCGUUCCGGAAGAUUCCGGCGUCAGAGCCAAGGGCUGCGCAGAGCCAGCAGCCUCGCUGCCCGCACCGGGCUCCGCGCUGGGGCCCGAGUGCCCCGGAUUUGCAAACUCCCGGCGGACGCACAUUCGGCUUUUAGUAAUUACUACUUCUGUGGGUCAUUGGCUUUAUUUGUGUCGUCUCUGGACUUUGGGCACCUCGUGCCCCCGUGUUCUCAGCCAGACCGGGAUCGCCCCCAGAGAUCCCCUCUCGAUGGCCAGCGUGAGGCAGGUGCUCUGGGGAGGGGCUGGGUCUCCACGUGACCCUGUCCGCUCGCCCUCCCAGCUCGGGCGGGGUGGGGGGAGGCUGAGGAGGUUCGGUUGGCGGGGAAGUGGGGCGUCGGAGCCUGGUUGCCCGGGCAACUCCCUGAAGGUCCCAGCCGAGGGCUCGGCUCCCACAGGUGGGGGCUGGUGUUGUCAUGGAGACUCCGGGGCAGCGGCAGCAUCGCCCGGGCCGCGGUUGGGGUACGGGGCCGGCAGAAGGGAUCAGGAGCCUCCUGGGAUAAUGUGGGUGUCAGAGCAGCAGUGUGCCAGGAAAGAAAGUUCCAGAAGACGGAUUUUCUGGUAUUCGGGACACGGCGAUGGAACCCUCCCUCUCCCCAGGCCCUGGCAGACGAGAGUAGUGUCAAGGGAUUGACGGCUGAGACGCGGCCGAAGGGUGGGCCUGACGCCCUGGCAGCCGGAGGCCAGGGCCUUCCUGGGUUCUUCCUGCAUCUGCCGACGCCUGAGGAGGAUCCGAGAGCCACUCAGCAGCCACCACCCUGACAGAGGUUCUAAGGGCGGCUUCAGGGGAUGGAAGGGUAGACUGAGGCAUCCCCUGCUUCACUCUAAAGACUAACGGACGCUGAUUACAGACACGUACAGAGGGACCCACGGGACGGAGGAGAACGCCAGGCCGAGGGGACAUCACGAACGCGCAGGCCCCAAGGUCCUAACGAUGCGUGACGGGUGCCACACACUGCGCUCUGGGCUGCCUGGUGGCCACGGCAAAGGAGGCAACAAGACUCGUGGUCCUUAGUGGAAGAGAGAGGAGGGGGGAGCUGGCCUUGCGUUCCCCAAGCCUCCGCUGGCGCCUGCUUGUUGGCCCUGCCCCGUUAGUCUGCUCCUCUUCCCGGCGAGCCUACUCCGUAAGCCGUGCCACGUGACGGUGUGCGACUCACCCCAACCCGGUGCGUGAUGGAAACCAGAGGGGACCCGUGUGACGGGGGCGCCGCCCUGCCGACGGUGCACGUCGCACAGCACCUGAACACCGGCUGGAGUGAGAGCCGCUGCGGGUUUUCGGCAGCAGGUGACACCAGGCCCACCCUGCAUCGGCUGCACCGGGAGGAGAACAAGACCCUCUGCGGCAGGACGAACCCCGAGCUUUGCUGGCCUCACCCGGGCCCCUGGUGCCUUUCACCCCGAAGCUGCACCACGGUCACCGUGUCCGUUUAGCCUCCUCGGCGCGGCCAUCGGGGCUCCCGCCAUCACACACAGUGUACCCAGCAGGGAGAGUGGGUUCAUCUGCGGUUCCCAGGGAGCCCCCAGCGGACACCCCAUCUCGCGUCCCGGGCCACAUCUGGUCACCUGCUUCCUGUUGACCCAACCGAGGCCAACGGGGACGGGAGGGAGUUUGGUCACAGUGAGUGGUAUUCACGCCGACUCACACGGGGAUGGGGUGCGGCGGAAGGGACCCCAGAACAGAGCUGACCACCCGCCCACCGAGGACAGAUCGGUGUCAGCGAGGCCCCCGGAAACAAGCCUUGAGAUGAAGGCUGAACGUCCUUACGGGGUCUGGCAAGGGAACGGGAAAGAGGGACAGAGAACCUGUGUGGGAAAGCUCUGGAACAGAGACUGCGUCCCGGGGGGUGUCCGAGCUCGACACGGGGCGUGGGGCUUCGGCCGUCCACGCUCAUCAGUCACCGGCUGAGGGUGCCUCUAGGGAAAGGUGACCUCGGGGCACGCGCGGUGCUCUGCACAGUGGGCACAGCCGCUCCGGCAGCCCGGGGGCAGGUGUCCGAGGGGGGUCACGGGCCGGGCUGGCGUGAGGAGCGACGCCCAGGAAGGUGCGGGCUGCGUGCAGAGGCGGCCACAGGGGCACCGGGCAUCCGGCCAACCAACAGCAGCCACCGCGAAAGUGAGCUGCCCCCCAAGGUAAGCACCCCGAGGACCCAGAGCCGCCGUGUCUUGUCACAGGCCCCGUUUCCAGCCUCAGCACAGAGCUCGCACCUGCUGGCGCCCGGUAAGCACGCAUUCAACACGCAACGAACAUUCCAGGCUCCGGGGCUUACGGGCCCACGAGGUGAGCCCCAGGUCAGCAUCCUCGGGUCACUCUGCAGCCCCCAGCCCCAGCCACGCGGGUCUUCGGGGUGGGGCGUGAUCACCGACUUCACGGAGCGGGGGCUCCCCUUGGAGAGGGCUCCCGGCCUGACCCGGGGGUGCCGAGGGUGGCCCGUGCAGGAGCCGGGUGUGCCCACGUGAAACUACGCGGCCUUGUUGUUCUCAUUAUUCCGAGAAAAAGUGAAUUCAGAGCAGCCCGUGCGGGUGCCUCACCUUCCAAAGGUUUUUGCAGACGUUACGUCGCGCGCUUCUCCCACACGCCCUGCAUGUAGGGCUGCGUCUGCGGCACCAUCGUCGUGCCCGAGGGAAGAACUGAGGCUCAGGAGGAACACGCUGAAGCGACACGUUCCCACCACCUGAGGCUGGACGCGGCCGUGACUGCUUUGGGCCCGUGGACUGGGCGCGGAAGGGACGCGCGUCGCUCCUGAGCAGCAGCUUUGGGAGCAGGUGCAUGUGCAGCAACGUCCAAGACAGCGGCUGCCCCACCGGGAGGACACAGAGCAGAACCCCAGUGGCCUGCGAUGCCGAGCAACCUGGGUGGGAACUAAGCCCUGUGAUGUGACGUCCCCGAAAUUACUGCAUCAGGGCCCAGCCCCGCGCGGCCUCAGACCUCUACGGAUGGACACGAACUAGGGGAAGGGGACGGAGGGAUGGAGGGAAGAGGGCGGCAGGAGCGACGCCAGCAAGCACCCAUGGUCCCCUCCGAGCAGUGAGAUGCUUCUGGACCCCAGAGGAAUCUUCCAGAAAUAGGUUAGGCAAGUGAGUUCCUGCUCAGACCCCCUCCCCCGGC